rnacentral:rRNA from 2 species
UCUUCGGAGAGUUUGAUCCUGGCUCAGGAUGAACGCUGGCGGCGUGCCUAAUACAUGCAAGUCGAGCGAACUGAUUAGAAGCUUGCUUCUAUGACGUUAGCGGCGGACGGGUGAGUAACACGUGGGCAACCUGCCUGUAAGACUGGGAUAACUUCGGGAAACCGAAGCUAAUACCGGAUAGGAUCUUCUCCUUCAUGGGAGAUGAUUGAAAGAUGGUUUCGGCYAUCACUUACAGAUGGGCCCGCGGUGCAUUAGCUAGUUGGUGAGGUAACGGCUCACCAAGGCAACGAUGCAUAGCCGACCUGAGAGGGUGAUCGGCCACACU